rnacentral:rRNA from 1 species
AUUGAACGCUGGCGGCAGGCCUACUACAUGCAAGUCGAGCGGAGUGGCUGACGGGCGAGUAAUGCCCAGGAAUCUGCCUGUCAUCGUGGGAGAACGUCCGGAAACGAGCGCUAAUACCGCAUCUCAUCUGCUGAGCCUAGGUCGGAUUCGCUGGUUGGUGGGGUAAAGGCCUACCAAGGAGACGAUCCGUAACUGGUCUGAGAGGAUGAUCAGUCACACUGGAACUGAGAAACGGUCCAGACUCCUACGGGAGGCAGCAGUGGGGAAUAUUGGACAAUGGGCGAAAGCCUGAUCCAGCCAUGCCGCGUGUGUGAAGAAGGUCUUCGGAUUGUAAAGCACUUUAAGUUGGGAGGCGUUACCAACAGAAUAAGCACCGGCUAACUUCGUGCCAGCAGCCGCGGUAAUUC